AGAACACAGGGUUCAACACCAGGAUUGGUCGCAAGUAGGAAGCUUUCGCCUCUACACUGGGACCCUCGGAAGGUGCCGGCGCAGUGCCUGAAGCUGUAGCGUGUGCCGCGCUCAGGUGCUCAGGACCAGGCAAGAGACCUACACUACUGCUAUGGCAACUCCGGAUCCUUAACUCAAUGUGUGGGGCUGAGGAUCGAACCUGCAUCCCAGUGCUUGAGAGACACUGCUGAUCGAUCUCUGUUGCCUUAUUGAUUUUCUGUCCAGAGGAUCUGUCCAUUGAUGUGAUGUGCAAUUGACCUUGGGAUGCAUAACUUCGUUGGGGGAAUCACUGACAUAUAAUAACUCCACAGCAUGUGGCCCCAAGAACUGCCCUGAAAG
rnacentral:lncRNA from 1 species